AAUCAACGCUGGCGGCGUGCCUAACACAUAGCAAGUCGAACGGCGAAAGGUCCCGCAAGGGGGCAAGUAGAGUGGCGCACGGGGUGAGUAACACGUGGAUAACCUGCCUUCGAGUGAGGGAAUAACCUUCCGAAAGGAGGGCUAAUACCGCAUAACACCUUGAGACAAAAGUCUCGGAGGUUAAAAGGAGCAAUUCGCUUGAAGAGGGGUCCGCGCCUGAUUAGCUAGUUGGUGAGGGUAACGGCNCACCAAGGCUAUGAUCAGUAGCCGUCCUGAGA
rnacentral:rRNA from 1 species